rnacentral:rRNA from 1 species
CCUACGGGUGGCAGCAGUGAGGAAUAUUGGUCAAUGGACGAAAGUCUGAACCAGCCAAGUCGCGUGAAGGAUGACUGCCCUAUGGGUUGUAAACUUCUUUUAUAUGGGAGUAAAGUGUUCCACGUGUGGGCUUUUGUAUGUACCAUAUAAAUAAGGAUCGGCUAACUCCGUGCCAGGAGCCGCGGUAAUACGGAGGAUCCGAGCGGUAUCCGGGUUUAUUGGGGUUAAAGGGAGCGUAGGUGGAGUGUUAAGUCAGUUGUGAAAGUUUGCGGCUCAACCGUAAAAUUGCAGUUGAAACUGGCAUUCUUGAGUACAGUAGAGGUGUGCGGAAUUCGUGGUGUAGCGGUGAAAUGCUUAGAUAUCACGAAGAACCCCGAUUGCGAAGGCAGUUCACUGGAGUGCAACUGACACUGAGGCACGAAAGUGCGGGUAUCAAACAGGAUUAGAUACCCUAGUAGUC